UGGCGGCGUGCCUAACACAUGCAAGUCGAGCGAGGAGAUCCUUCGGGAUGAUCCUAGCGGCGGACGGGUGAGUAACACGUGGGCAACCUGCCUCAUAGAGAGGAAUAGCCUCCGAAAGGGAGAUUAAUACCUCAUAACAUUGCAGUUUCGCAUGGAACAGCAAUUAAAGGAGUAAUCCGCUAUGAGAUGGGCCCGCGGCGCAUUAGCUAGUUGGUGAGGUAACGGCUCACCAAGGCGACGAUGCGUAGCCGACCUGAGAGGGUGAUCGGCCACAUUGGGACUGAGACACGGCCCAGACUCCUACGGGAGGCAGCAGUGGGGAAUAUUGCACAAUGGGGGAAACCCUGAUGCAGCCAACGCCGCGUGAGUGAUGACGGCCUUCGGGUUGUAAAGCUCUGUCUUCAGGGACGAUAAUGACGGUACCUGAGGAGGAAGCCACGGCUAACUACGUGCCAGCAGCAGC
rnacentral:rRNA from 1 species